rnacentral:rRNA from 1 species
AUGGCUUUUUGGGUUUAAUAAAAAGUCUAGCCUGCCCACUGAAAAUUGAAGGCUGCAGUAUUAUGACUGUACAAAGGUAGCAUAAUCAUUAGUCUCUUGAUUGGGGGCUGGUAUGAAAGGCUGAACUAAAAAUUGCUGUCUCAAGAGUAAUUAGUGAAAUUUUCUUUAAUGUGAAAAGACAUUAGUAAGUGAGUGGGACAAGAAGACCCUUUUAAACUAAAUUAAGUUAAAUAAAAUUAAUUAGAAGAAUAAUUUAUUUUUAGAUCAAUUGAAUUUUGCUGGGGCGGUGAAUAGUAAACAUUAUUAAAAAGAGCUGGUUAUUGCUAAAUUAGGUUAAGAGCGUGUAAUUACGGAGUUAAAGAAAAAGUUACUGAAGGGAUAACAGCGUAAUGUUUUUUAGAGUUCUUAUUAACAAAAACGUUUGCGA